rnacentral:misc_RNA from 1 species
UGUAGGAGCGAGCCUGCUCGCGAAGGCGGCCUCACAGUCGAUGAUGCAGUGACUGAUAGGCCCUCAUCGCGAGCAGGCUCGCUCCCACA